GGAUAUACAAGCUCUCUGAUUCUAAAGCACAGAGAAUAAAGAAUGCCUACAGAGAGAGGAAGGGAGUAUGAAACAUCAGUAUAGGGGACGAUGCCCCAACCAACUGAACCACCCAGCCCAGGUCUAUGUGCCAGAAAUAGAGGGAAAUAAAACAACUAGAAUAUAGAAGAUGAAAAAAAACUCUCUUCUCCACAAGCUACUACUCCUAGGAGAAUGAGGUUGGCCUAGUUGGAUUUGAUGAAGUUGACUACUAUGUGACUAAGGAGGACAUAAAUCAUGGCAUUCGAAGAACAUCCUGAGUUCAAAGAAAACCAAGAUGGCGGCAUAGGUAAACACCGGAGUUAGCUGCCUCGAAC